rnacentral:rRNA from 1 species
GCACAAGCAGCGGAGCAUGUGGCUUAAUUCGACGCAACGCGAAGAACCUUACCAAGGCUUGAAAUGCAAGUGAAGCGGUGGAAACGCCGUGGCCGAAAGGAGCUUGCACAGGUGGUGCAUGGCUGUCGUCAGCUCGUGUCGUGAGAUGUUGGGUUAAGUCCCGCAACGAGCGCAACCCUUGUCAUUAGUUGCCAUCAUUUGGUUGGGCACUCUAAUGAGACUGCCGGUGACAAACCGGAGGAAGGUGGGGAUGACGUCAAGUCCUCAUGGCCCUUAUGGGUAGGGCUUCACACGUCAUACAAUGGUCGGUACAGAGGGUUGCCAACCCGCGAGGGGGAGCUAAUCCCACAAAGCCGAUCGUAGUCCGGAUCGCAGUCUGCAACUCGACUGCGUGAAGUCGGAAUCGCUAGUAAUCGUGGAUCAGCAUGUCACGGUGAAUACGUUCCCGGGUCUU